AUGAAGUAUUCAGAUCCUUUACAUUACAAAAGUACUGAUACCAUAGUGUCAAAAUACCCUGUUACAAAUAAAAUCCCUGAAUUGCAAAUCAGGAGGAAGUUAAACUACCUGAUCCUCAGACACGUUUCAGAAUCUGCUGAUGUGGAACGACGAGCUCACGACUCUGCUGUCCACAAGAGAAACCGCUCAGCUCGUAAUGUGGCUGUGGAUCAUUGUGUAAUUGUUUAUACUUCAAACCUUUUUUUAGCCUAAAUGACUCACAGCAACCUGUUUGUGGGUUCAUUCAAACUGAAUGACUUAAUGAAAGACGAUCUGGAUGAAUCAUGUUGAAAUAAAACACAAGACACCUCAGAGCAC